CUGAUGAGCGCAGUGUCACUAGGCUGCAACGGAUACGUUACUACUCAAUUCAAUUUUUGUGUGUUUGGCACUAUAAAAAGUGAACUAAAAUACAGUUGUGUGCUCUUAAUAGUCGUGUGCUCUUAAUAAAUAACAUUUGGAGCUGCUCUGUAAAAUGAAUACCCAGAAACCAAAUCUAACAUGGAAUGAUGACGAAAAAUCAUCACGGAAUGGUGACCAAAAAUCGACCUCGCCAGUCAAAGAAGAUAAAAAACCAGUUGACCAGGUCAGACCGCCACGAUGGAAGCGUGCAGGAAAAAAAUGCCAAAAAAACAAAGAAGACGCUGAAAAACGGCUCCAAUUCCUUUUGAAACAAUUAUCGACUCCCCGUCGAUAUAAUUAAAAAAGCGAUCUCAUUCAGAAAAAAUAAUCUUUAUUCUUAAUGAGGGAAGAGGACAUCGAGUUAUGAACUCCCACUUCGCGUGCUUAUAACCGAACGCCCAUCAAGUCAUUUACAUACCAUAAAGUUCACAUUAAACUGAGUAGUGCAGUGGUGAGUGAGUUAGUCUCCCGCCUAUUCUGCUCUGGGUUCAAGUCCUGCCUAAACAGAAUAGUUUAGGCAAAAGUGUUUUUUUUUUUUUUUUUUUCAUUUUUGUUUCAUUAUAUUAUUGAAAUUUAUAAAAUCAUUUACGCGCUUUUAUUGAAAUCACGAAUUGAAUGUCAAAUUAAUUUUUUUGAAUUUUGCAAUUUUUCUAACCCUACUGACUUGGAAAUUAAAAUACCUAUCAGAGUGUACUCGGAAAAAGACAUUUAUCAAAAAAUAAUUUAAUUUAAAAUGUUCCCUGCCUCAUUGAAAGAGAUAUCGAAAAAAAAUGGAAUAAAAUUUUUAAAACAAAUUUUUUGAAAAAUCGUUUUAUUAUACAUCAAAGUUGUUUUAAUAACGAGUCCAUUAUUUCUAAUCAGCAACAAUACUGCUUUGGGAUUUUGUUUACCGUCGAUUUGAUGA